rnacentral:rRNA from 1 species
UACGAAGGGGCUAGCGUUGCUCGGAAUCACUGGGCGUAAAGCGCACGUAGGUGGGUCGUUAAGUCGGGGGUGAAAUCCUGGAGCUCAACUCCAGAACUGCCUUCGAUACUGGCGAUCUUGGAGUCCGGGAGAGGUGAGUGGAACUGCGAGUGUAGAGGUGAAAUUCGUAGAUAUUCGCAAGAACACCAGUGGCGAAGGCGGCUCAGCUGGCCGGUACUGACAGCGUGAG